UAAUCCCGGAUAUGACCACAGCACGCAUGUGUUGUGGUGGAAAGAUUUAUCGGUGCAGGAUGGGCCCGCGGCCUAUCAGCUUGUUGGUGGGGUAAUGGCCUACCAAGGCGACGACGGGUAGCCGACCUGAGAGGGUGACCGGCCACACUGGGACUGAGACACGGCCCAGACUCCUACGGGAGGCAGCAGUGGGGAAUAUUGCACAAUGGGCGGAAGCCUGAUGCAGCGACGCCGCGUGAGGGAUGAAGGCCUUCGGGUUGUAAACCUCUUUCAGCAGGGACGAAGCGUGAGUGACGGUACCUGCAGAAGAAGCACCGGCUAACUACGUGCCAGCAGCCGCGGUAAUACGUAGGGUGCGAGCGUUGUCCGGAAUUACUGGGCGUAAAGAGUUCGUAGGCGGUUUGUCGCGUCGUUUGUGAAAACCCGGGGCUCAACUUCGGGCUUGCAGGCGAUACGGGUAGACUUGAGUGUUUCAGGGGAGACUGGAAUUCCUGGUGUAGCGGUGAAUGCGCAUAUAUCAAGGAGGAACACCGGUGGCGAAGGCGGGUCUCUGGGAACCAACUGACACUGAUGAACGAAACCGUGGGU
rnacentral:rRNA from 1 species